rnacentral:rRNA from 1 species
UACGUAGGGUGCGAGCGUUGUCCGGAAUUAUUGGGCGUAAAGAGCUCGUAGGCGGUGUGUCGCGUCGGCCGUGAAAACCUGCAGCUUAACUGUGGGCUUGCGGUCGAUACGGGCAUCACUGGAGUUCGGCAGGGGAGACUGGAAUUCCUGGUGUAGCGGUGAAAUGCGCAGAUAUCAGGAGGAACACCGGUGGCGAAGGCGGGUCUCUGGGCCGAUACUGACGCUGAGGAGCGAAAGUGUGGGGAGCGAACAGG